rnacentral:rRNA from 1 species
UACAGAGGGGGCAAGCGUUAUUCGGAAUUAUUGGGCGUAAAGGGCGCGUAGGCGGCUUUUCAAGUGACGGGUGAAAUCCCUCGGCUUAACCGAGGAACUGCCUGUCAGACUGGAAGGCUUGAGACCGGGAGAGGUGAGUGGAAUUCCCAGUGUAGCGGUGAAAUGCGUAGAUAUUGGGAGGAACACCAGUGGCGAAGGCGGCUCACUGGACCGGCAUUGACGCUGAGGUGCGAAAGCGUGGGGAGCAAACAGG